AAUGCAUGGCGUGUCUGGAGCAUUUUGUUGCCUUUAGGUCUUGCUGCAUAAAGUAGAGCUGUCAGGAAGUCUUCUGCUUGCCCACUAUCAGAGGCAGGUGUUCAGGAGCACACAGAAACUGCAGUCUGCCAGUGAUGCAACCUCAGUGUCUCAGAAAAGAUGGCCAGAGCCUGAACUCCUGUCCUGCUGCUGUGAGCCAGUGAUUUGAGCUGUGAUAAGAAGGUUGGUGAUGUAACCCAGUGAAAGCAUGACUGAGUUAGAUGAAUCUGUGCAGGGGAACAGACACGCUACUCCUUUGGGAGUUACAGAACUCUUUGGUGUGGUAUCAGGUAUGCCAAUGUGCCUGCAGCGCUCCAAAUAUCAAACACAAACAUUAUCACUUGCGUAUGUUCUGGAUAAAGGGCUACAGGUUUCCUACUGGGACUUUUGCCUUUCUCUGUGGACUGUUCUCUGUAGGACUGAGAUCAGCUGCCGCUCAGGUUAACAGAAUUCAAACCUUAUUUCUGGAGAAUACUGUGAGCUGGGGUCUUGGGGUGGACACUGCACUGAGAACCAUUUCAAACUUUGCAAGAUGAUUCAAGGAUAAUUUCUGUUGUGCUUACAGAGUCAAGGCCUUUUCUGCUCUUCACACCACUCCACCAGCUAUUGGACUGAGGGUGCACAAAUAAAUUUGGAGGGGACAGAGAUGGGACAGCUGACCCUGACUGACCAAGGGAUAUUCCACAUCAUAUAGCAUCAGGCUCAGCAUACGAACCUGGGGGAAGAGCGACAAGGAGGGACAUUUGGAGUGAUGGUGUUUGUCUUCCCAAGCCGCUGGAACAUGUGAUGGAGAUGGCUGAACACCUGCCUGCCCAUAGGAAUUGGUGAAUGAAUUCCUUAUUUUGCUCUGCUUGUGUGAGCAGCUUUUGCUUUACCUAUUAAAUUGUUUUUACCUCAACCCAA